rnacentral:rRNA from 1 species
UACAGAGGGGGCAAGCGUUGUUCGGAAUUACUGGGCGUAAAGGGCGCGUAGGCGGCCUUCUAAGUCGAACGUGAAAUCCCUCGGCUUAACCGGGGAACUGCGUCUGAUACUGGAUGGCUUGAGAUUGGGAGAGGGAUGCGGAAUUCCAGGUGUAGCGGUGAAAUGCGUAGAUAUCUGGAGGAACACCGGUGGCGAAGGCGGCAUCCUGGACCAACACUGACACUGAGGAGCGAAAGCCAGGGGAGCAAACGGG